GUAGUCAUCAGGAAUGUGACAGAGCAGGAUGAAGGAUGCUAUUACUGUCUGUUUAUCACUUAUCCUGAAGGCUCCUUCAUUGGUAGAACCUGCCUCCAAGUCUAUGAGCUGCAUGAACCUGUUGUUGAUGUCAGAGAGUCAAACUCUACUGAAGAGUGGGUUGUUUCCUGUUCAGCCACUGGUCGACCUGCUCCCACUGUAACACUCAGUGUCUCACAACAAGACCUCAGCUUCUCACAGUACAACACUGUCA